rnacentral:hammerhead_ribozyme from 1 species
AUCCAGCUAACGAGUCCUAGAUAGGACGAGACGUGCGUCCUGGAU